UUUAUAUGAGAGUUUGAUCCUGGCUCAGGAUGAACGCCGGCGGUGUGCCUAAUACAUGCAAGUCGUACGCACUGGCCCAACUGAUUGAUGGUGCUUGCACCGGAUUGACGAUGGAUCACCAGUGAGUGGCGGACGGGUGAGUAACACGUAGGUAACCUGCCCCAGAGCGGGGGAUAACAUUUGGAAACAGAUGCUAAUACCGCAUAACAACAAAAGCCACAUGGCUUUUGUUUGAAAGAUGGCUUUGGCUAUCACUCUGGGAUGGACCUGCGGUGCAUUAGCUAGUUGGUAAGGUAACGGCUUACCAAGGCGAUGAUGCAUAGCCGAGUUGAGAGACUGAUCGGCCACAAUGGAACUGAGACACGGUCCAUACUCCUACGGGAGGCAGCAGUAGGGAAUCUUCCACAAUGGGCGCAAGCCUGAUGGAGCAACACCGCGUGAGUGAAGAAGGGUUUCGGCUCGUAAAGCUCUGUUGUUGGAGAAGAACGUGCGUGAGAG
rnacentral:rRNA from 1 species